rnacentral:rRNA from 1 species
AUACGAAAGGUGCGAGCGUUGUUCGGAUUUACGGGGCGUAAAGCGAGUGUAGGUGGUUUGUUAAGUCGGAUGUGAAAUCCCGGGGCUCAACCUCGGAACUGCAUUCGAUACUGGCAGGCUAGAGUUCGGGAGGGGUAAGCGGAAUUCCGUGUGUAGCAGUGAAAUGCGUAGAUAUACGGAGGAACACCUGAGGCGAAGGCGGCUUACUGGACCGAUACUGACACUGAGACUCGAAAGCGUGGGUAGCAAACAGGAUUAGAAACCCCAGUAGUCC